UUCUCCCCUGUAGUCCUUGAUUACGCUCUAGAAAUUCGCCGAAGUCGGCAGGGUAUGUAUGGCGCGUGUCUAAUCUGGUGCUGCGCGCGUCGAUGCGAUCCUGGGCCUUUCUGGUGGCGUUGUCUUUUCCGUUCGUUUCGUGGAUUUUCGGGAGGUGGGAGUGGAAAUGCAGUGUGCUUUGCACUUUCGCUAGUGAAUUUAAUCCGAGCGUUUCGUUCGUGCAUCAUCCUGUUCUCUCGAAGGCUGAAGUAGUCGGUGACUGUGGCGGAAGUGAAUGUCUAAUGACUCCUGUUUUUUUGGAUAGAUGGUGAUCGUAUCAUUUGAACCUACUUUGAGUCAUGAAUGUCAUUGGUGAAAUAGCUGGUGCUGUACUUUCUUGCUGAAUGUUUUCGGGUCAAUGGCUGUUAAAAGAGGUGAAAUUUCCACCCACUGUCUGUCUAGGUCUCUGGGUAAUAGAUAAGUGUUCUAUUUUGUGUAUUCAGGGGAAAGAACGGAGGGGCAAGCUUUCUUGACAUUUCAAUAAGUUGAACUUGCUUAUCAUGCUUUGGCAUGACUCCUGAAUGCUUUUUCUAUUUACAUCUGCUAGGCACGUGCAAUGAUGCAUCAUAUGAACAAUUCCUCAGCGUAUAUAGUAUGCUCAAUCUAUCAAACUUUGAAAGCUCCUGCAUCAUGCCAUAGGAUUUGGUGGACAGCUGUUGGUGUUGACACACUGCUCUGUAUCUUGAAAGGAUUCCAUCCAUCAUAAACAAAUUGUUCAUUGUAAUUUUUUUAAUCACACUAGUCUUGCAAGUUCUUCCAGAUAUGCAUUUUAAGUUUCCAAUUUUAUAAUUUGCAUGGUGUUGCGGAAACUGAAAACCUUCCCAUGAAAAGAUGGUCAUUCCCACAAAACGCAUAUUCUUUCACCACUGAUUUAGAUGUUAAAUAUGGCUGAUCUUUGAACCUCUUGUGCUGUCUUUUUAUAAGUUAUUUGUUGGAAAAAAAACUUUACAUUCUGGUUCAUGUGUAAGAAUGUCUUUCCACUCAUUGCUUCAAUUGAACUUUUGUGUUCCCACUGAAAUGGGUUUCCUUGUGAACUAUGAGAAUUAACAGAAAUUCUUAUUAUUGGAGCAAUUAUCUUGUUUUUUGUUCCAUUAUGUAUCUUUCUCCUUCAAAUAUGGCAGUCGGCAUCUAUAAAUGUAAGUUGAUAAGGACGGUGUUUCUAUAUAUCAGAUUUGGAAAGAGAAACCUUAACCUCCAUAACGAUGAUCAUUUUGUCUUCUAAUGUGGUGGUGGGCAACUUGUUAAGUGGAGGUUAUUAGCAAUUAGAACCUAAGUAGUCUUGUUAUUUUUUAAAGUACAUUGGGUGGUAACUUUGAUGCUUCAAAAAUAAAAAAUAAAAACAGCAGAAAGCUAUCUCUGAGAAUUUCGCUUUUAUACUUAUAUGCUUCUAUCCGCUAUGAUGGAUUGUGACAAGAACUCCAAUUGAUGCAGGGUAUUCCAUCAGCUUUUAUACAUCAUCUCUCUUCUGUCUUACUUGUGGCUAUAGGCACUACUUGAUAGUUUCAGCUGUUACCAAAUCUUAUUGGCGUUUGGUUUUUCAGAAACUUUGCUUGUAUUAAUAUAGCUCUUAGCAAGACAUUCUCUGUGAAAAAGAAGAAAGGAAAGCUCCGGAAGGCAUGGGAUGGGAGCAAAGUCAUCUUUAACGUAGCAUCCUGGGGGGCAACAGCCAUUGGGAUCUAUCAAAACCCAGUACUUCUCAGGGCUGCCUCAAAUGCCUUUUGGACUUCUUGUCAUGUUAUAUCAAAGCUUCUCUGAUCUUCACGAUCUGCCUGAAGAGGAGCUUAAUUAGUUCAUUCCAUGCCCGUGCAACCUGAUGUUGUCCACCUUGUUUGACAUUAGUGCAUUAAUUAGGCUUUCCAGUUUGAUUUAUUACCCUCUGGCGUCAUCAAAAUCGUGUAAAUGAGUAACUGUUCUAUAUUUCAAGUUUGGACACAAAUGCGAUGUAAAAAUUGUCUGCUAUUGAAUGCAGAACUGGUCUUACACCUUCUCUCA